rnacentral:rRNA from 1 species
GGAAUAUUGGUCAAUGGGCGAGAGCCUGAACCAGCCAAGCCGCGUGAAGGAAGACGGCCCUAUGGGUUGUAAACUUCUUUUAUACGGGAAUAAUAAGUGUUACGUGUAACAUGAUGCACGUACCGUACGAAUAAGGAUCGGCUAACUCCGUGCCAGCAGCCGCGGUAAUACGGAGGAUGCGAGCGUUAUCCGGAUUUAUUGGGUUUAAAGGGUGCGUAGGCGGGCGCAUAAGUCAGGGGUGAAAUACUGUCGCUUAACGAUAGAAUUGCCGUUGAUACUGUGUGUCUUGAGUACAUCUGAGGCAGGCGGAAUGUGUGGUGUAGCGGUGAAAUGCUUAGAUAUCACACAGAACACCGAUUGCGAAGGCAGCUUGCUAAGAUGUAACUGACGCUGAAGCACGAAAGUGUGGGUAUCAAACAGGAUUAGAUACCCUGGUAGUCCACACUGUAAACGAUGAAUACUCGAUGUUUGCGGUUUCUGGUGAGCGUCCAAGCGAAAGCGUUAAGUAUUCCACCUGGGGAGUACGCCGGCAACGGUGAAACUCAAAGGAAUUGACGGGGGCCCGCACAAGCGGAGGAACAUGUGGUUUAAUUCGAUGAUACGCGAGGAACCUUACCCGGGCUUGAAACGCAGGGGAAUGGCGGGGAAACCUGUCAGCCGCAAUGGCGCCUGUGAAGGUGCUGCAUGGUUGUCGUCAGCUCGUGCCGUGAGGUGUCGGCUUAAGUGCCAUAACGAGCGCAACCCUUAUUGUUAGUUGCCAGCGGGUAAUGCCGGGGACUCUAGCAAGACUGCCAGCGUAAGCUGUGAGGAAGGUGGGGAUGACGUCAAAUCAGCACGGCCCUUACGUCCGGGGCGACACACGUGUUACAAUGGAUGGUACAGAGGGUCGCUACCACGUGAGUGGAUGCUAAUCUUCAAAGCCAUUCUCAGUUCGGAUCGGAGUCUGCAACUCGACUCCGUGAAGCUGGAUUCGCUAGUAAUCGCGCAUCA